rnacentral:ncRNA from 1 species
AAUGAACAACGGCAAAUCCAUCGAAAGGUGGAGACGCAAAGCCACGGGUCUAAGCCAUGAAUCACAUGCAUGGGAUGAUAGCCGGGUUACUCUU